UACAAGGGAGACUAGUGUUAUUCAUAUUUAUUAGGUUUAAAGGGUACGUAGAUGGUAAAAAUAUAAUGUAUUAAUUGUCAUAAUAGUAGUGACGUAACUAGAGUUCUAAUAUAGAAGAGGAUUAUAAUAGAAAUUAAAAAGAGGAACGAUUAAAAAUGUUUUUUAUAUUUUUUAAGACUGACAUGUGAAGACAAUCCUCUAUAUAUGAACUGACAUCAAGGGACGAAGGCUUGGGUAAUGAACAGG
rnacentral:rRNA from 1 species